rnacentral:rRNA from 1 species
UGCGCAGGCGGUCUGUUAAGUUAGUGGUGAAAGAUCCCGGCUCAACCGGGGACCCGCCAUUGAUACUGGCAGACUUGAGUGUGUCUGAGGAGGUUAGAAUGCGUGGUGUAGCGGUGAAAUGCAUAGAUAUCACGCAGAAUACCGAUUGCGAAGGCAGACCUCUAAGACAUAACUGACGCUGAGGCACGAAAGUGUGGGUAGCGAACAGGAUUAGAUACCCUGGUAGUCC